UGAAAGAAAAAAUCGUAUGGAAGACCUACACAAAAUAAAAGCAAGUCUCACUGCUUUUCAAGGGAAGUAUAGAAGUGAUUAGUCUCUGAUGAUAAUAAGGGGUACCCUUGUGUAACACAGCACAAGCUCUCAGAAGUGAGACUUUAGCUCCUUACAAAUGCUGAGCAGACAUGAACACCCUCCUGGGAGAUUGAUGAGUCCUAUUAACCUUGUUGCGUAGAUGGAAACUCAGAAACAAAGUGACUCUGAGGAUUAAGAGGAAGUCAAUGUCAGCAUCAGGAUUAGAAUUCACACUUGCCUGGUUUCUCAGCCCAUGACCAGCUCCCCCAUGGAUUCCUUCUUUGUCUUCCUCCCCAAGUGAGGGGACAGGGUGUUUCCAAACUUUAAAAGGAUCCUGUUAUCCUCAGGCCUCUGCCUUGUAGGAAGGUCCUUUCUUUUAAUAAAUUACAGAGCUGA